GCCAGUGUAGUGUAAUGGUUUGAAUGUUGGACUAGGACACUGGGAUAUCAGGGUUCAAAUCCCUGCUCGGCCA